rnacentral:misc_RNA from 1 species
GAUGAAGAACGUAGCGAAAUGCGAUACGUAAUGUGAAUUGCAAAUUCAGUGAAUCAUCGAGUCUUUGAACGCACAUUGCGCCCCCUGGUAUUCCGGGGGGCAUGCCUGUCCGAGCGUCAUUGCUGCCCUCAAGCACGGCUUGUGUGUUGGGCCCCGUCCUCCGAUCUCGGGGGACGGGCCCGAAAGGCAGCGGCGGCACCGCGUCCGGUCCUCGAGCGUAUGGGGCUUUGUCACCCGCUCUGUAGGCCCGGCCGGCGCUUGCCGAUCAACCCAAAUUUUUAUCCAGGUUGACCUCGGAUCAGGUAGGGAUACCCGCUGAACUUAAGCAUAUCAAUAAGCGGAGGA